rnacentral:lncRNA from 1 species
UGCCUGUAGGUCAGAAGACAAUAUAUAGGAGUCAGUUCUUUCCUUUCACCAUGUAAAUCCUGAAGAUUGAACUCUGAUGGUCAGGUUGGUGACAAGUGUCUUUACCACCUCUCUUAGCUAAACAAUUGUUGUUUAACACUGAAGUGACAUGUCCCAACACACCGAGCCAGACAUCUGUCCAAGAUGGCUGUGGUAAUCAGAGGAGGGAUUCAGGAGACGUACAAGUGUGUGGUCCCAUCAGAGAGCGUGGGAUUCCGUGCUCUGGGUUCAAGGAAGGAGACCAGGCUAGGCCACUGAAAUGCAAAGGGUUUCUGAGCUGAGGCCUUCAUGAAGAUGAGCUCUGCUGCCCUGGGUUCUCCCAACUACUGAAGUCGUCAUCAGAGGCACACAUCCUUAACUGUCUCCGACGGCUGUGGACCCCACUCCGAGGCUUCUGUGUUACAGCUUCAUUGAUGAUCCUGGCAUAUCCAGAGAUACAUGAAGACUGAUCUAAGUCCUUCCUGCUAAGUAAAGAGCCUCCAGGUAGCAGCUUGGCGUUCAAGACACACUAAACUGUGGAACAUCCAUGGAAUGUGAAAAACAGCAGAAGGUCGCUUUCACAACUCCUGUCCUCACCUCAAGCAGGACUCAGACCUAGGAAGGCUUCUCUGACCUCCCUCUGAAGCAGUUGAACGAACCCUGGAGAAAGGCACGCAACCUUGGACCAAAAGAAACGCCUCGUGUCGGAACACAAAGGGGCACGGAGUCUAUAGCAUGGAUGUACUCGUAUGUGAAAAUGAUAUUAUGCAUGAUAUAUUCACUACCGUGGCAUUAGAAGUCCUCGAAUUGUCCGACAGUUGGGA